CUCUCCCACGUUUGCCAAACGUCUCUUAACUCUCUCUCCAGGUACUCUCUCAAUGUGUUCUAGUUGAGUGAGAGAGAUGAGAUGGGUGUUCACACUCUCUCUCUGAAAAUCAUCCUUAUCCCUACAUUCAUAAGUCCUUCACCGUUUUCUCUCUCUAAUCUCUCUCUCAUGGCGUCGACUCUCCGCCAACAUUCCCUUCUCCAUCCCCUCGCUCCGAUCCAAACCCCCACAAAUUCGCCUUCCAAAACCCUAAAAUCUCCUCCCGAUUGAGACGAUCAUCUUUGCAUUCCUACUCUCUCUCAUCAAGCCCUCACUGUCUCUCUAGGGUUUCCGAUUCUGCACUCUGUCCGUGUUCACUGCUCGAUGGUCCCGUUGUUUCGGUGCCGAACAGACAAUCUUCUGCAGGCUCUUCGCUACGCUGCUCAAUUUGGCUCCCUUCGCUACCAACGGUGCUCUCGCAAGGUGAACAAGCUUCAUGAAGUGUGUUGAAGAUUUCAGAGCUAGGGUUUAUCUGCAACUUAACAAGAUUUUUCAAUGCUCAGUGGCUUUGAUUUCGCAAUCUCAAAGAGUGGUCUUCUUUUACUGCGAGUAGUAACACAAGUGAUGAAGACUAAAGAAUUCCUCAACUGAGCAAGUGUGAUUCUUGGGAAGCUGACAUGGGCAUGGAGAUAGAAGGUGAUGGGGGUGCCUGUAUAUCGUCAACCUGAUCUGGUCACAGAUCUCGUC